GCCAGGUACUGUAGGUGUCCAUGUUUAUGGGAUGUGAAGGAGGCCAGGUACUGUAAGUGUCCAUGUUUAUGGGAUGUGAAGGAGGCCAGGUACUGUCGGUGUCCAUGUUUAUGGGAUGUGAAGGAGGCCAGGUACUGUAAGUGUCCAUGUUUAUGGGAUGUGAUGGAGGCCAGGUACUGUAGGUGUCCAUGUUUAUGGGAUGUGAAGGAGGCCAGGUACUGUAGGUGUCCAUGUUUAUGGGAUGUGAUGGAGGCCAGGUACUGUAGGUGUCCAUGUUUAUGGGAUGUGAUGGAGGCCAGGUACUGUAGGUGUCCAUGUUUAUGGGAUGUGAUGGAGGCCAGGUACUGUAGGUGUCCAUGUUAAUGGGAUGUGAUGGAGGCCAGGUACUGUAGGUGUCCAUGUUUAUGGGAUGUGAUGGAGGCCAGGUACUGUAGGUGUCCAUGUUUAUGGGAUGUGAAGGAGGCCAGGUACUGUAGGUGUCCAUGUUUAUGGGAUGUGAUGGAGGCCAGGUACUGUAGGUGUCCAUGUUUAUGGGAUGUGAUCGAGGCCAGGUACUGUAGGUGUCCAUGUUUAUGGGAUGUGAU